rnacentral:lncRNA from 1 species
UUAUGUGUAUCUAAUUGGAAUAAAAUCUUACUCUAGAACAGAAAUAGUUUCAACAUCCUACAUGUAUCUUUCAUUAGCUGACUGUAAAUGACACAUUUGCCCAAGAAUAUCAAAAAUUCAAAUCUAAACAGGAAGUUCUGUGAGAGCAUGAUGGAGUUAUUUCACUACAAAGAAGUUUAUUUAUAUAGCUCUUUGUUUACUAUGUGCAGUUUAUAUUUAACAUGGAAGUUUAAGAGUGAUGAAAAUAAUACAAAUGGUAUAGCACCAUAUGUCAUGUAUGUAUAUAGGUAUGGCACACAUGAAUGAAUUGGGACCUUAUCAACGUAUUGUGUUCAAAGAAGACCUAACGAAUCCAGCAGUUCAAAAACAUGUUUUGCAGUGAGACGAAUGGUGACAAUGGCUUUGUGGCAGUUAGUGAAAAACUGUGGUAUUUUACACUGAUGAUGGCUACCAUUUACAGAAAAUUUCUCAACCAAUAGUGACAUUCAAUUGAAAGUAAUAGCAUAUCUUACACCGACUAUACAUCAGAAUGUUGUUGAAAAAAGCCAUGGCAAAAAGUGGAAAAUACUGAUCAAUAUACUUCAAUGACUUUGGAACUGAGUAGAAAAUGGUGACAUUUUAGCACCAUAUUGUGUGUAUACUUUUUCUUGCAUCCGCACAGUCCGGCCAGGAUCCAUGCUGUUCACUAAUGGUUUCUAUGGUUGCAAUAGCAUUUGAAAGCGAGCAGCAUGGAUCCUGACCAAAUCGAGCUGAUGCGCAGGCUGGUCUGUAGCCAUGCUGAUCGCAAAGCCUCUAUGUUGGUUUUCUCCUGGCACGGCUCAUAUAUAAAUUCAUGUAUGUAAAUAAUGUUUUGCUUAUGGUAUUUUGUCAGCACAGGUAAUGAAAUACUAAACAAACAUAAAAUAUUUUGUUAGUGUUUUGUUUUAAUUUGUGACCUUGCUCUUUUGCAUAUCAUAUGUUUUGUUGGUAUUUUGUUAGCAGUGUUUUGUUAGUGUUUUCUUUAGCACAUAUAAUGAAACACUAAUAAAACAUAAAGUAUUCUGUUAGUGUUUUGUAUAAGCCUAAUUUGCAUAUCAUGUUUUGUUUGUAUUUCGUUAGCAAUGUUUUGUUAGUGUUUUGUUAGUGUUUUGUUACCUCAUUUGCAUGUCAUUUGCUAUACUAAUAAAACAUCAUCAAAACACAGUGUA